rnacentral:lncRNA from 10 species
UUUUUAGAUGUUGAUUAUUUUACUAUUUCUUUAUUGUUUACCAUAGUUUACAUUAUACUUCAAAUUAUUAAAUUGUCAUGUAAAUCAGGACUGUUAGCACUUUGCAGACACUUUAUUUCUCUAAUAUCUUUUUACAUAUUGUUAUUGUUGUCAUUUAAAUCUACUUAUAUUUAAACACCAUGCAACAUCAUCGUUAUCGUCACAACAGUUAAUAUCCAAUUAUAUUUAUCCAAGUAUUUUUUUCUUUUUUCUUGAUCCUUAUUCUUUCCUUUGUUUACCUCUAUCUUAGAUCGUUUUUCUUUUUCCUAAAGAUCCUAUUUGAGGUCUUUUGUAUCUGUCUAAAAAUAUCUUCAUUUCAACUUAUUUUUUUUGAAGCACAUUAUUUUUGGUUUGUUAUAGUAAAAUAAUUGUUAGGAGUUUUUUUAUUGCUCUGUAAAGCAUUUUUACAAUUGACAUUGGGCUUUCUUCUCUCUCUCCUCUCUCUGUCUCUCUCUGUGUGUGUGUAUGUGUGUGUUUGAAUUUGCUAUUAGUAUUAUAGAUAGCACUUUAUAAGCAGUGCUCCUUUUUUCUUUGGUUGAUUUUUAAAGAUUUUGUAUUUGUUUUUGACAAUCAAGAUUUUUACAUAAUUUGUCUAAAUUUUUUGGGUUUUUUUUUUGCUCUGUUUUAUUUUGCCCCAUAUUUAUAUCACUUUUUGAAUCUGUGGCAUGUUUUAAGUCAGUUUUGGAAAACAUGCAUAUCUCUUCAAGUUUUCUGUUCUCCUUCCUAUUUCUUCUCCUCCUUCAAAAAUGAGGGUACUUUAAUUUUUUUUUAACUUUAUCUCAUGUUCUCUUUGGUGGUUUCUUGUAUUUUCUGUUUGGAUUAUUUACAUAACAGCUUUGUGAAGUUUACAAGUUGCCAAAUAACUUGAAAGAAAUAUCAGUACAGGUUGGCUGUUUGAGCUUGACUUAGGUUCUUCAGAGUGGUUAUGACAAUCCAGAAGCUUGAGAAUCAUUGUCAUACAUAUUUUGAAUUUCUAAUUUAAACAUCAGACGGCAAUGUAACCACUGUAUAAGUAAGAACUUGGUCUAGAUGCAUCAGUGGUGUCAUAUAUUUGCAGCUGCCUUCUUGAAUCACAGGGUUCCGGGCAAGGUGGCCGAAUACGAAUAGCUCUCGUCUGCAGCUCUCAGUGAGACCAAUAGAGAAGUGAUUUCUGCAUUUCCAACUGAGGUACCCGGCUCACUACACUGGGACUGGUUAGACAAUGGGGACAGCCCACAGAGGGUGAGCUGAAGGAAGGUGGGACAUCGCCUCACCC